GCAACCCCAACAAAAUUAAUAUAAAUAUUGAAUUCAGGAGAAAUUUAUUCCAUUAUAUUAUUUUAAUAAUACUACUAUAGAUAUUUUCUAGUUAAAUUUCUUAUAUAAAAUGGUAAAGAUUAAUUCCGGAUUUAUAUUGAUAUUAAUUGCUCUAACCUUGACUUGUUCACCUGUUACUCAAUGCAAUCCAGUAUUUCAAAAUUUACAUAGGGUUAGACGUGCUGCCCCUAUAACUGUCACACAAUCAACAAUUGAUUAUGCUAAAAUUGCAAGAGGCCUUAAUAUAAUAGGAUAACAAAAUGGAAAGAAUAAUAUUUUAUUUUACAGUAUAUUUUUACAAUUAUUAUUCUGGUGUCUAUUGUAUUUAAUUCAUUAUUAUAAAAAAUGGGAAGAUAUCCAAAUUAAUUUAAAAAUCAAAUUUUUUCUUGUCUAACUUAGAAUAAAUUAUUAUAUAUUAUAUAAAUGUCAUUAUCAAUAAAGCUAUAAAUAAAACCUGAAUCCACGUAAAAACUUAUCGAUUCCCAAUGUAACCACUUUAAAUUGUUUUUAGAUAUUUUUUAUAGAGGUCACAAUUAUAACUAAAAAUUUUUUAGCCUUCAUUCAACUUCAAACGCGAACUAAGAAUAGGACAUAAUAGUCAAAAACAUGCAAAUUCAUCAAAAUCUUUUUAAUAGUGAAUAUCUCUGGAUAUAAAAAUUUUUAUAAUAAUUUUAUUAUUUUUAAAAUAUUUUUAUUUUUACCUAAUUCAAUUCGUUUUUUAAAUCAUUUUAUCGCUUACAAUCCAGGUGUAAGACCUAUUGGUCCAGAGGAUUCACCUUCACUGAUUAUAAUCAUGUAAUUAUAUUUUAAUAUUAUUUUGAUUGGUUUGAGCUUGUUUUACUUAUAUUUAUAGCUAUAGUGGUUUUUGAAAUUGAAUAAAGAUUAGCGUGUUUAAAAUA